AUUGAACGCUGGCGGCAUGCUUUACACAUGCAAGUCGAACGAGUGGCGAACGGGUGAGUAAUAUAUCGGAACGUACCGAGUAAUGGGGGAUAACCAUUCGAACGAUUGGCUAAUACCGCAUAUUAUUCGAGCGGCCGAUAACUGAUUUGCUAGUUGGUGGGGUAAUGGCCUACCAAGGCGAAGACCAGUAGCGGGUCUGAGAGGACGAUCCGCCACACGGGAACGGAGACACGGCCCAGACUCCGACGGGAGGCAGCAGUGGGGAAUUUUGGACAAUGGGGGCAAGCCUGAUGCAGCCAUGGCGCGUGUAUGAAGAAGGCCUUCGGGUUGUAAAGUACUUUUGUUGGGGAGGCGGUACCUAAAGAAGAAGCACCGGCUAACUACGUGCCAGCAGCCGCGGUAAUUC
rnacentral:rRNA from 1 species